UUCUAGUUAACUCUUGAUCCAAAGAAUACUUCUUUGUGUAACCAUAAAGUUACUGUCUGCAUAUUCCUUCUCAUAUUCCAUGUCAAAAUUAUACAACAUGACACGGUCUUAUUUACAUGACCAAGGCAGGGGCAUCUCUGUGACUGACAAAAGCUAAAGGAGUCUUCUUCCUUGGGGCAUAAUGGAGAUUUUAUGGUGUUUUAAUUCUGCUUUUUUUUUUUUUUAAUUCUGCUUUUUUUAGGUCAGCUUUGAAAUCACAUCACGUGCCUGUGACCCAGGGCUGAGGAAAGGCUCCUGGAAGACAAGCUCCCUCCUACAGAAGGGCUGCUUCCUUUCAUCAGAGGACACAGCUCCCCAAGCUCCCCAGUGAUUUAUAUGCCCUGGUGUGUUACUGAGGAGAUGCCAGUGAGGGCCUGAAACAAAUCUUCCUCCAGAAUAGGAAGUAAACCGUGGUCUGCGGGACAUAUGGCACACAGCUCCUCAAAGAUUAAUGGGAACAUGAGACUUUGCUGGGUCCUCGGACCAGGGAUGAUAAGGGUGUUGGAAACAGUACCUCCUCUCAGCUUUGAAGUGUCCCUGACUACAAAGGUUUGAGGAAAUUUAGAGUGAACAGGAAUCCCCAAAAUAAGGUUUGGCAGGCAGAAUGCCUAUUGUAAAGAAUUCCCUAGACAUAUAUAAGCAAGGUUUCAAACAUCUUCAAACCGAUGCAGGGGAGUUCAGGGACCCUUGAGAAGCUGGUGAUACUUAUUUUGUAAAUUACUGAGACGGGGAACGUCUUCUGAGGCUGCACAGACCCAGCAGAUUUUCACUGUUCAUCACAUGAGCACUGCGGAUGGAGAUCACACCCCUCAGUAGUUUGGGGAACCACAAAUGCAGGUCUCCCAGGAACCCUCGCGGCUCACUGACCUGUGUUCCCUGACUGUUGAUGUCGAUGGCGUCGCUCCACUCACUCGUCGUUUCCUCCAGCAAUUCUACUCUCAAAAGGAGGCUGGGGAGUAAGUCUCUGGUCCUGCAGUCUGGAUAACUGGAAAGCUGAUGAUACAGCUCAUGAUGAAUUGAGCACUCAGGAGGAAUUCUUCUGCAAUAAACCUCACACUUUGGAAUAUCUAAAAUUGAAAAAAGAAAGGCAUAUGCAGACUUAGGCCUUGAAGAAAAAGACUUGGGGAUACUAAACGUAAUGGGGCAGGAGAAACUUCUCAGAGAAGCUCACUUUUAUUUAAGGGUCACAGGUAACUACGAAGUCAAAAACCUCCAGAAAGAAUAUAGGUUUUGUAUUAUUUAAAUUCAAUACUAUAACAUAUACCUUUAGUAUUUUCCUUUAUAAGUAGUGUUAUUGGACAUCUGUUGUGGAAAAUUAUUCGAGGACUAGGGUCUUCUGAGAGGGUUAAAUAAGUCACUCCAAAGUGCUCUUGAUAUGUCAGUGCUAUAGCCCUAGAACAGAAUCAAAGGAUAGAAAUGGUUUAGAAAAAAAUGCACGCUUUCUCUCCUGAUACAUGUUUAUUUGGAUCUGCAAUAUUCAGAACCUCUAUAACACCUUCUCUCUUAUACAUCAGAGGAAAUGUUUUCCAGAGACUGGAUGGGCAUCCACUUAUCUAUUACCUGCCAAACACUAAUGAUAGGUUUACUAAUUUUUUCUGACAGUAGUAAACAUUUUUGUCAUAAAAUGUUCAAAAAAAUGUGAAAGAUCAUAUACACACUACUAUAUUUAAAACAGAUAACAAAGACCUACUGUAUAGCACAGGGAACUGCUCAAUUCCGUAACAACCUAAAUGGGAAAAGAAUUUGAAAAAGAAUAUGUAUAACUGAAUCACUUUGCUGUACACCUGAAACUAACACAACGUUGUUAAUCAACUAUACUCCAAUAUAAAAUAAAAAUUAAAAAAAUAAAAUUAAGUUAAAAAUAUAAAUAAAAUAAAA